rnacentral:rRNA from 1 species
GAAACACCCGGUCCCAUCCCGAACCCGGAAGUUAAGCCUUUCAGCGCCGAUGGUACUGCGACCGCGAGGUCGUGGGAGAGUAGGACGCCGCCGGAC